GUGGGGAAUAUUGGGCAAUGGGGGAAACCCUGACCCAGCAACGCCGCGUGAAGGAAGAAGGCUUUCGGGUUGUAAACUUCUUUUAUGAGGGACGAAGAAGUGACGGUACCUCAUGAAUAAGCCACGGCUAACUACGUGCCAGCAGCCGCGGUAAUACGUAGGUGGCAAGCGUUGUCCGGAUUUACUGGGUGUAAAGGGCGCGUAGGCGGGAUAGCAAGUCAGGUGUGAAAUCCGGGGGCUUAACCCUCGAACUGCACUUGAAACUGUUAUUCUUGAGUGAUGGAGAGGCAAGCGGAAUUCCUAGUGUAGCGGUGAAAUGCGUAGAUAUUAGGAGGAACACCAGUGGCGAAGGCGGCUUGCUGGACAUUAACUGACGCUGAGGCGCGAAAGCGUAGGGAGCAAACAGGAUUAGAAACCCGUGUAGUCC
rnacentral:rRNA from 1 species